UUAAAGGAUAAAAGUAAUCCACUGGUC
rnacentral:tRNA from 2 species